CCCUGCCUAAAUGAUAUGUUUCCCGUCUGCCUCUGUUGCAUUGGGGUGAGAGUGCUCCUUUUUAUGAGACUAUACAGUCUUAUCACCAGAUGUGUGGUCGUUCACAAGAUCCCCAUUAAGAAUAGUUACCUCUCCUGGAAUUGCCGCAUGAACUCCUGCUUUAUUACACCUUAAAUGGCUGUCUCCUAAGAGCAGCUUUGUCUGCAGGGAGCUCUGUGUGGUGUUCGCUUGAGGCUCAGCAUAUGACAAUGCACUUUAGCAUCUCAAGCCUUGUUAACAGAAAACACGCUUGUUUGGUGUUACUGCUUCUAAACUCCCCUUGCUCCCAUCUGAACACUGCAGCAAAGGGUCUUUCUCUUUCCAAGGUAGCGAUUAGGGAUUGAGUGUCUGUGUCAGGAAUGCUCAUUUGUAGGUCCCUUUACUCUGCCAUCAGCUCUGCUAGCUGUUGGCAAGCCCUGCACACACCCUCUAUAACCAGCCAUAGGCAAUGCUGCUGCGAAGAUGUGCUGAGCUCCACUCUCUUCUUGGCUCUGCCAGCCUGCAAUGUGUCAAGCUGCUCUCAAAUCAGGAGCUUCCACAUGGCGUUGCACUUAGCUGCGCCAGAGACAGUGAAAAGUAGUUGGAGGAUUAUAAGAACAUGACUGUCUCAACGAUUGCAAAGGAGUCCAAACUUGCUGGGUAUCCUACAUGAGUCAAAAUGUUCUGCUUGCUCCUUGAAUAUGCUGUUCAUCUAUAAUGCUUCAAACAUGCAGAUCAGGAAGGAAUUUUCCUUUGUGUGUAUGGGCAGGGCCAGUGGAUUGUAUUCCACUCUAUCCUGAGAUUGCAGGGAGUGUGGUUGGACAUUGGGCAUUCUCCAUGUGCAGCAACAAUAGGGUUAAAUAGUCCCCCUGCAGUCCUUUAAUGGAGGCGCAGUUAUACAGAUGAACGUCUGUGUCCAGCAAGGUGCAGCCUCGAUUCUGAGUGUUGCUUUUCAGUUAAAGGCUCACAGCUCUUAGGGUGUCAGCCGAACAAGUCCUGCGGUGACGCUCCAGAGUAUUCAGUACAUAUGUGUGCAAUAAUGGCUGUCAGUGAGGGUAUUUCCUGGCCAUCUUGUAGGUCUAACAGAAUAUUUCCCUCUAGUCUUUUUGCCCUGGCACCCGGACCUCUGUGGUGCUGUUCAUGUGAUGUUUCGUGGACAGUGUUGGUCUCUUCCAGGAAGCUAGUGCCCAGGGCAGGACGCAGUGGCAAAGCAGGACUUCGUUGUGAGCACUGUUAGGGUUUGGCCUUGUGGAUCUCACACCGUGGGGUACAAAUGCGACUGGAUAUGCUGCAGACAGCCAGUGUCACAUUCAUCAAUGUGCUGGCUCUUCCCAAAGCCUCGUACCGCCAGUGCACCCCGGCAUGUUGGCCCCAGCAUGCCACGCUGUAUACUAGUGACUUCUCUGCCUGAGCCUGUCCCCGCUCUUCAACAGAGCACUGAAUGAAGGAAUGAAGCGGUCCAUGCUCCCACGCCAUAGGGGUGCUGACCCCGGUUACCGCCUGUUAACUGGAGCAGAACUGAUUCUCACACCCCCUUGAAAGCGCGUUUGGCAACGAGGUGAAUACGUCCAGUUGUGGAGGUGGCAAGGGACAGGGAAAUGCUGCAGAGCCCGAGACUUGGUAUCAGCAUUUCCUCAGGAGAAGCAAAGGAAAAAUGGGUUUCUCUCAGUCAGGGACUGACAGCAGGCAGGGUCCUACGCAUUCCGGCCCUUCCUCCUUCACAGUCCCAGACACCAGUGAUGGCAGCAGGCUGCUGUUUGCAAUUUGCUGUCUGGAUGUUGUUUUAUAUCUGCUAACUGGUAGCUUGCCUGGACCUCCUCCUGACCCUCCACCUCACAGUCCCUGUGCUGCCAGCCUCAUCCCUGGCCUCCCUUUCCCAUCCCAAUUCCUGCCCCUCGGAGUCUCUUCUUCCUUCCUUCCCUCCCCCCACUCCCUUGCUCCUGUUUACUCACCACCUCCUGUGGUCCCCUUCCCCUAGCCCUCCCCAGAGUAAAACAAACAAACUGCGAUAAGACUGUCUGACCUCUCUGCUGCUGCCUGAUCCCUUUCCCCACCCACUGCCUCUUGGGUCUCUUUUUAGACUCUUUAGGGACAUAGACCACAUCUUCCUCCAUUUCUUAAAAUGGUGUCUUGCAGGUGUAGUCUCUGAUCCUGACUGGGGCCUUUGGGUUGCACAGCAGCUUUAGGAUUGAUCAAGGCCCUCUUUAAAAACGGUAGCAGAUCUCAGAUAUCAUCAUGCUUAGCAUCAGUACAGCUUCCAAGUGCUUUAGACCAUAGGAAAUGUUUAUGCAUUAAUAUAGCAAGGGAGACGCAUCCAAAUUAGUUGAAACACAAUGUGCAUUAAUUGUAAGGUACGGGAGAGAGAACAUAGAGUAUAGAAGAUGUUAAACAUUAACUGCAUCUUCGCAUCCUUUGCCAGGGCUGUGGAAACUGUUCUAGAAGCUCUGCUGCAAAAGGGAAUGGAAAUACGAAGAUCUUCAGAAAUCUUAACUGAGUGAGCCUUGUAGGAGCCAAGGGUCUCGGACCCUAAUAGGGCUUGUCCUGUUCCCUUGAAAUGGGAUUUCUCUUUUGCCCACACACACGAUGGUCCGAUGGUCCUCGUGGGUGUAAAGGCUUCCCCCUUCAUUGGUGGCCUGUUCUGCUUGACGCAAACUUUCUAGAGAACACCAACGAGACAGGCAAUAAGCAGCGUUUCCUUGACCAGUUGUAGGGAAGUUGUGGGGCUGAAUUAACUUGUGGGGGUGACUCUGAUUUCAGUGAGUUUACACCAGGAAUUUAAAUUGGUCCUUCGGCCCAUUACAUGUCGGAACAGUUUCCUUGCAGAGAGUUCAAAACCAAUUUGUUUUCCUUUGCUGCAGGGAUGAGCAACCUUUUAUUUAUCAGGAGCCAUAGGCCCAGUGGAAAAAUGGAUGGCAGGCCACAAAUGUUCAACUCAGCUGCUCAGGGGGGCGCGGAGGCUCGGGGCUUCCCCACAGUAGGGCAAGCCAGCGCUCGAGGCUCCAGCCCUGCAGGGUGGCACUAAGACUCGGCUUCCGUUCUGCGGUGGGGGAGCUGGUGCUCACAGCUCCAGCCCCGUGGGCAGGAAGCCAUAAGCUUUGGUGCCCCUCAUGAGGCUGAAGCUGUGAGUGGUGGCUCGCCUGACCACAAGGGGAAGUCCCAUCCCGCCAGCCUUGGCAGGUGAGUUGAACAUGUGUGGCCUACAGGCUGGAUGAAACUGAGCAAGGGCCAGAUCCGGCCCACGGACCAAAGGUUCCCUACCCCUACUUUACUGGUACCAAUGGGCCUUGGGUAAACUACGCAGCCCCUAGCAGCACUGCUUAUGGAUUAGUGGUGAGUGCUGAUUUUUCCAAUCUCCAGAAGGAUGAAUGGACACACUCAACUCCAAAAUUGCAUUUCUCUGGAAAUGUUUAUCUACAUUAGGCUAUUAUCACUGAAAAGUUAGCCAGCAAUGACUUCAUCAACAGGAACAGGGUUAAGUGAAUUUAAAAAAGCCACUCUUAAACAGAGUUGACAUACAUGCAGGGUUUUGCACUGGUUUAACUAAAUCAGUUUAAAUUUAAACCUGUGCAACUUUCUCAUGCAUCCAAGCCCAGACAGUGUCAGACAUUCUCACCUUACCUGAAAAGACCUGCAUAAAUAUCAGUGGGAGAGCAGAAAAGCCCUUGCAUGUUUUUCAGGGCAUGUUUUUAAAGUCAGGCAAGGCUGUUUAAAGGGGGCUAUAGUUUUAAGUGUUUAAAUCAGGAUUGGAUGCGUUUCUAAACGAUAUGCUCUGGGGAUUAUUUGGGGGAAGUUCUAUGGGCUGUGUUAAACAGACGAUCGGGUUUGGUUCUGUCUGACCUCGGAAUCUUUGAAUAUAGCAGAAAUGGGAAUUUUUUUUAAAUGUAGUCAGUUUAAAAAAUUUGUAUCAUCAGUGUCCCAUUAAUAUCUCCCCCAUGCCCCCCCCCCAUUACGCCUAUGCCCUGGGGAGAGUUGAGGCAGCCAGUUGUGCAAACGAGCCUAAAAGUGCAGAUCAGCUCUGCAGAGUGUCCGAGACCCCUUACCCAGGAAUCCUGCUCCCUGUGUGCUGCCAAGUCCUAUCUGCCAAAGGUUUUGCUAGCUUGACUUUCAUUAGUAGAUCUUGACUCUUGGUAGAUCCAGUAUGUUUCCAGUGGGUGUGAAGCCAGGCUGCUCUCAGGGAAGAUGAUGGCCCCUUAAUGGCUGUGCUAGGAAUAAGCAGGGAAUGAGGCUGUGGGAGAGGAGGCAGCAGCGAGGGGAGCUGGGUUAGGACUUGUGGAGAGCAGGAAGUAGACUGGGGGAGGUGCAGGGAAUGUGGUGAGACAGAGGGGAAUACGAAUAUAGAGAAUGUGCAAGUGACCAGGAGCUCGGUGGGGAAGAGGAGACAGUGGGGGGAGCAUUGAGGGAGAAAGCAAGGCUGGAUAGGCAGCUGCCUUACUCGGUAGGGACGGGGGUAGAAUGGUAG